CGACCGGUUUUAACGAAUCACGAUAAAUUUUGCCCAAAAAUGAUGGUAACGAUAAAUAUUUGAGACCUCUGACGAAUAACGAUAAGGACAGUUUGACGAAUCACGGAAAAAUUUUAACCAAUUUGACGCUAACGGUAGCUGAAAAUGACCGUUUGACGCCUGACGGUAAAGGGCAUUACUACCCUCUUUUAUACUGCAAUCAGCUGUUUUACUAUACAGAUAAAGCUAUACGUAUAAACGUUAGCUUUA
rnacentral:lncRNA from 1 species